AGUAAUGUAUGGGGAUCUGCCUGAUGGCGGGGGAUAACUACUGGAAACGGUAGCUAAUACCGCAUAAUGUCUGCGGACCAAAGCGGGGGACCUCCGGGCCUCGCGCCAUCAGAUGAACCCAUAUGGGAUUAGCUUGUAGGUAAGGUAACGGCUUGCCUAGGCGACGAUCCCUAGCUGGUCUGAGAGGAUGAUCAGCCACACUGGGACUGAGACACGGCCCAG
rnacentral:rRNA from 1 species